rnacentral:rRNA from 1 species
GACGAACGCUGGCGGCGUGCUUAACACAUGCAAGUCGAACGAAAAGGCCCCUUUGGGGGUCCUCGAGUGUCGAACGGGGACGUAACACGUACAUAACCUUCCCUUGCCUUCGGGAUAACUUCAGGAAACUGGGGCUAAUACCGGUUCGGGAUCCUUUCUCCAUGGGGGGGGUUGGAAAGCUUUGGCGGUUUUGGAUGGACCGGCGGCUUAUCCGCUUGUCGGUGGGGUAGUGGCUUACCAAGGCUUUGACGGGUAGCCGGACUGAGAGGGCGACCGGCCACACUGGGACUGAGAUACGGCACAGACUCCGACGGGAGGACGAAGGGGGGAAGAUUGAACAAUGGGCGGAAGCCUGAUGCAGAAAGGCCGCGUGCGGGAUGACGGUCUUCGGGUUGUAAAACGAUUUCAGCAGGGGCGAAGCUUGUGGUGACGGUACCUGAAGAAGAAGCACCGGCUAACUACGUG